rnacentral:lncRNA from 1 species
UAUUUAGAACUUAAGAAAUAGAAUAGUGUCGAGGAGUACUUACAAUAGAUAUUGAGGGAAUAUUUAAUUUGAUGACUGUUUCGGUGGUAUUUUUGGGGACCAAGACACUAACCUUUUCUGACGUGGCUUUGCCGCUUUCCGAUGCUUAAACUGGGUUUUUCGCUUGUCUUCUUUUUUCCUUGUUGCUCGAUCGCUCGCAACCUUGGCCGUUCGGUGAUCUUCAAGCUUUGAGCGCUUGUCCGACUUCCCGGUGGAGAGGGGGAGGUACCUGCAAAAGGUACUCCGACGCCCAAGUCAGGCGUGUAUUGAAGAGCCUCGGCUCUUUAGAAAGUGAUUUGGUAUCACAGUAGAAUAUUUCUGAGUGUCAUUAAAGAGUGAUUUGAAGGUGAUUGGAAGAUACCUGGCCUGUAGCCCUGGCUCUCUAUGGACCUUAAACUGAUAUAAGUCCAACAAAAUAAAAUGUAAACAGAAUAUAAUAUAAACAGACUUACCUGAAAAUAGAUAUUCUUAAUUAUUUAAUCUUUUGUUUAUCAAUAUCUUUAAUAAGAUAUUCUUGAUUAUUUUACAUCUUUAGAAAGAUAUAUCGUAACCGUUCGGCCUUGAUAUCAUACUGUACAAUGACAUUACCUCUAUCCAAAAUAUUAUAAUAAUGAUUUAAUAGAUCUUUUAUUUUUAUAUAAUGUUAUAUUUUCUCAUUUCUAUUAAACACGUGUGAUUUUGAUUUACACUUACCAACCCU